rnacentral:rRNA from 1 species
AAUUCGAUGCAACGCGAAGAACCUUACCUGGUCUUGACAUCCACAGAAGAAUCCAGAGAUGGAUUUGUGCCUUCGGGAACUGUGAGACAGGUGCUGCAUGGCUGUCGUCAGCUCGUGUUGUGAAAUGUUGGGUUAAGUCCCGCAACGAGCGCAACCCUUAUCCUUUGUUGCCAGCGGUUAGGCCGGGAACUCAAAGGAGACUGCCAGUGAUAAACUGGAGGAAGGUGGGGAUGACGUCAAGUCAUCAUGGCCCUUACGACCAGGGCUACACACGUGCUACAAUGGCGCAUACAAAGAGAAGCGACCUCGCGAGAGCAAGCGGACCUCAUAAAGUGCGUCGUAGUCCGGAUUGGAGUCUGCAACUCGACUCCAUGAAGUCGGAAUCGCUAGUAAUCGUGGAUCAGAAUGCCACGGUGAAUACGUUCCCGGGCCUUGUACACACCGCCCGUCACACCAUGGGAGUGGGUUGCAAAAGAAGUAGGUAGCUUAACCUUCGGGAGGGCGCUUACCACUUUGUGAUUCAUGACUGGGGUGAAGUCGUAACAAGGUAACCGUAGGGGAACCUGCGGUUGGAUCACCUCCUUA